rnacentral:lncRNA from 1 species
UGAUCUCCAUCAACCACCUUGUACAAAACCGUACAAGAUAUAUAUGCCAAAAAUGUCAAUACCAAAACCAUAGCUAUCCAAGAAAACAGACCAUGGUAAUCGAAAGAAACUCCAAUGUAAAACACAAAACCAACAACACCAACCUCUCACAUCAAGGGAGAGGUUUCUUAGCCUUUAUCAAAUCCUUGAGCCAAUCUAGUGCUCCCACUGCAACAUAUAAUUGAGAUAUCAUCUCCUUAGAAACAAUUUUCACGACCAGUGAAGCACGCCUAUUUGAAAACAUCACCACUAAACUUCCGCAAAGCUAUUCCUCAAAUCAAACGUCUGAGCCCGAAACACAAGCCAAUCGGAAGGAUGAUUAACAGCCCCCACAAGCUCCAAAUCUUCUGUUGAGAAAAUAGUCUUAUCAAUAUGAUGACUACUCUCAUAACAUUCCAUUGCCUACAUGUGACUGAUUGCUUUUGCUUCGUUUAAACUUUCAGUGAAACUAAAAGCCCUUUCCAAAUAUAAAAUAGAACUUCAUCAUUGAUAACCUCUAAUAUUCCACACAGCUCCCACAAACUUUUAUCUCUUAGACCAAGAUAAACCC